GAUGAACGCUGGCGGCGUGCCUAAUACAUGCAAGUCGAGCGAACAGACGAGGAGCUUGCUCCUCUGACGUUAGCGGCGGACGGGUGAGUAACACGUGGAUAACCUACCUAUAAGACUGGGAUAACUUCGGGAAACCGGAGCUAAUACCGGAUAAUAUAUUGAACCGCAUGGUUCAAUAGUGAAAGACGGUUUUGCUGUCACUUAUAGAUGGAUCCGCGCCGCAUUAGCUAGUUGGUAAGGUAACGGCUUACCAAGGCGACGAUGCGUAGCCGACCUGAGAGGGGGAUCGGCAACAGUGGAACGGAAACAGGGUCAGGACCCCGAGGGGAGGAAGAAGAAGGGAAUUUGCAGAAAGGGGGAAAAGCCGGAGGGAGAAAGGCGGGGGGAGGAAUAAGGGUCUUCGGAGGGAAAACUUUUGUUAUGGGGAAAAAAAAAAUGGGAAAGAAAAAAGGCAGUUCUGGAGGGUACAAAACAAAAAACCCAGGGCAACCAAGGUG
rnacentral:rRNA from 1 species